CCCUUAGAGUUUGAUCCUGGCUCAGGAUGAACGCUAGCUACAGGCUUAACACAUGCAAGUCGAGGGGCAGCAUUUCAGUUUGCUUGCAAACUGGAGAUGGCGACCGGCGCACGGGUGAGUAACACGUAUCCAACCUGCCGAUAACUCGGGGAUAGCCUUUCGAAAGAAAGAUUAAUACCCGAUGGUAUAAUCAGACCGCAUGGUCUUGUUAUUAAAGAAUUUCGGUUAUCGAUGGGGAUGCGUUCCAUUAGGCAGUUGGUGAGGUAACGGCUCACCAAACCUUCGAUGGAUAGGGGUUCUGAGAGGAAGGUCCCCCACAUUGGAACUGAGACACGGUCCAAACUCCUACGGGAGGCAGCAGUGAGGAAUAUUGGUCAAUGGGCGCAGGCCUGAACCAGCCAAGUAGCGUGAAGGAUGACUGCCCUAUGGGUUGUAAACUUCUUUUAUAUGGGAAUAAAGUU
rnacentral:rRNA from 1 species